GCUUUAGCUACAAGGUUGGGGUUUAACUAUCAGGUUAUUGUUGUGAGGCUUUAGCUACAAGGUUGGGGUUUAACUAUCAGGUUAUUGUUGUGAGGCUUUAGCUACAAGGUUGGGGUUUAACUAUCAGGUUAUUGUUGUGAGGCUUUAGCUACAAGGUUGGGGUUUAACUAUCAGGUUAUUGUUGUGAGGCUUUAGCUACAAGGUUGGGGUUUAACUAUCAGGUUAUUGUUGUGAGGCUUUAGCUACAAGGUUGGGGUUUAACUAUCAGGUUAUUGUUGUGAGGCUUUAGCUACAAGGUUGGGGUUUAACUAUCAGGUUAUUGUUGUGAGGCUUUAGCUACAAGGUUGGGGUUUAACUAUCAGGUUAUUGUUGUGAGGCUUUAGCUACAAGGUUGGGGUUUAACUAUCAGGUUAUUGUUGUGAGGCUUUAGCUACAAGGUUGGGGUUUAACUAUCAGGUUAUUGUUGUGAGGCUUUAGCUACAAGGUUGGGGUUUAACUAUCAGGUUAUUGUUGUGAGGCUUUAGCUACAAGGUUGGGGUUUAACUAUCAGGUUAUUGUUGUGAGGCUUUAGCUACAAGGUUGGGGUUUAACUAUCAGGUUA